rnacentral:rRNA from 1 species
AUUGAACGCUAGCGGGAUGCCUUACACAUGCAAGUCGACCGAGUGGCGAACGGGUGAGUAAUGUAUCGUAACGUGCCCAGUAGCGGGGGAUAACUACGCGAAAAUUAGCUAAUACCGCAUACUCUUGGAGCGGCCGAUAUCGGAUUAGCUGGUUGGUGGGGUAACGGCUCACCAAGGCGACGAUCCGUAGCUGGUUUGAGAGGACGACCAGCCACACUGGGACUGGGACACGGCCCAGACCCCUACGGGAGGCAGCAGUGGGGAAGUUUGGACAAUGGGGGAAACCCUGACCCAGCCAUCCCGCGUGUGCGAUGAAGGCCUUCGGGUUGUAAAGCACUUUUGGCAGGAAAGCGGUACCUGCAGAAUAAGCACCGGCUAACUACGUGCCAGCAGCCGCGGUAUAC